rnacentral:lncRNA from 1 species
AAAGGAUGAGCGAGCGUCAAGAAUACGCCAUGUAGAGAAAGAGUCGGCCCGCAGGCCCCGAGAUUAAUACUUAAUGAUGAAAGGCAGGCAAAUGGCAAGCGCCGUUGAGGGGGGAUUUGGUUUGGUGGUUUUGGGCAAUUGCCGCGAACGAAGGGGCCGCGAACAGGUGGUUUGGGUUUAACUCCAGCGGCAAACGGGAGAUUUGCGACGACGUCACAGUGAGAUUUAUUUUUUGGGCGGGUGUGGAGCAGUUCCGAAGGAGAGAAAGGGAGAAGGGAGAAACAAAGUAAGUAGAACGCAAGAGACCAGAGAUCCGUAUGUAAGAAGAAAGAGAGGAUAAUUCUAUUGAGAUGGAACAGAGAAAGAAGUAGAGUAGUGUAGCUCAGAUGGCGAGGAAGGAAGCGAGGACGUGAGGAAAGAAAGGCUGGCAAGGCAAGAACCUACCUAGAAGGAAGGAGCGAAGGAGCGCGCAGGGAACCCCGGUCUGUGUGGCCGUAGCUUCUUCUUUCUUCCCUUUCCUUUUUUCCCCUUGUGCAUUUUUGGCAGUGUUGUCUGUCCUCCAGCCGCCCCAGUCUCUUAGUUUCUUCUUACAGAGUACUCUGUUCCAUCCAUUUGCAUUUUGCAUUUAGCUUCUCCAGUUUGAUUCUAUCUAUUGAUUGCAUCGUCCCAACUGUGGGGGUGAACACCCGCCCACGAACAGGAGUUGUACACAUGCAGAACAGCGCUUGAAACUUCGACGCUGGUCUUCGUUGUCUGAUUAUGUGGCCCCUGUUUCGUGGUACUGUCAGAACCUAAGAACAGGACUGGUCGAAAGAAGGAUUAAGUCGGUUGACAUUGGCAAGAACUUUAGAAGUGAGGCUAGGUCUUGAAUUGGAGAUCGACGCUUGCAGCUGUGUCGCUGGAUCCGCUUUCGGCAUCGCUCUACGGUUGCCCCCCCAUAUUUUCUUCCUGACCGAUCGUCCGGCGUGCCCUCACGUGCUACAAAGGAAUUCUUAGAUCGAUUUGCCAGAAUGUUGCGUGGCGAUCAGAUCAUUCGAGAGUCGAAAGAAGAACUUUGUGUAUUACCUAUCCCUACUCUGCAGUCUGCACUCGGAGCAAAAAAAGGCACAGUUGAGGACCCAGGUUCAACCGGUUCGCCGGGGGCGAUAAGGAACAAACUUACGGAUUCCGAUGGCCUGGUUCAUGUUUACUAUGUAACUUAAUGUUUAUCGUACCCGCUCGCCCGCCGCACUUGCCGCCUGUACCUCAAUGCCAACCAAGACUUGAGGUACGUCUCACGAAUUCGCCCACGCUUUACCAUACUACAGAGUAGUGUCUUUGAUGGGUGCCGAGUGGGCCAUUCGCCAAUUUGAGAUUCCCCUUGUCGGUGGGUGAAGUCAUCCAUCUAGCGGUCAACUCCAGACGAUUGUGACCUCGGGCAUUUAAAGGAAAUUAGCGUGGCAUAGGUACGAAAUACGGUGUGAACCUUGAAUCAAGUAUUUGGGCUAUUCCUAGGCUCGCGCACGAACAGACAGAGGAAACAUCAAAUGAGCCCAGGUGUAAUCAGUGGCAAUAACCCGCCGAGCGAGGUAACGACAGUUCACGACAUGGAAUGCAAGUUUGGUGAGACAGAGUCAGGUCUUGUAGGCGAAGCGAGCAGUCCCAUGAACAACAGUCCUGUCAAAGUGAACAUGUGAGUGGUGGGCACGCCUGGCAAGUGAGGCUGUCUUCACCUUGGAGGCGAAUCGGCCUGCAUGAAGAGACCCAAGUACUAUUACUACGUAUGUACUCCGUUCGGCAUUCGAGUUUGCACGGAGUAUGCACUCUGUAGUGUUGUUUCCAGUCGAUUAAACUGAUUGCGCGUUGGUGGCUUGAAGCAAGGCAAGCCGCCUCGCGCCAAUAGUCGCGGCGACCAAUCGAACGGACUAGGCCCAAAGAACACAGGGGUAUAGAUCCAGCUCUAGGGGUUAGUUAGCUUUUAAGCUCUUAGUAGAUGAUACUUAUCAGCCAGGACACCGAUGUUAUGGCAUUGGCUGAUAAAUCUCAUCGUAGAUAGUGCUGACCCGAGACUCCGGCUCGACUGACGGGACAGCACUGAAGAAAACACAAAGGAGCACUGGUUCAAAUUCAAUAUUGCUCACAUUCUUUAACUACUCUAUAGUAAGCAUCUCAAUUCGCUGACUCAUCUCACUGAAGUCUGCUGGCCACGAAGCCAGAGUAGGGCAAAACCAAAAAAAAGGGGCCGCUUCUGGACCAGUCGCACUCCGCCUGCCACGUCUGGGCUUGGCCGCCUCACUUUGCUGACUCUGACAGUGACAACUCAAUUCUUUAAGCAAUGAACAUGUGCCUAGAAAAAAUUUUCAUGGCACCCUGAUUCGAUAAGCUGAUAUGAUUAUCCGCACGAUUUACAUAUGUAGUACUAUUUUCCAAGGCGUCGGCGGAUGCCGUGGUACAUCCAGAUGAGUAUUUUUUUGACCCCCAUAUAUGCACUAGCUAGAUAUCUACGUAGAUGUUGAAACCUAGGCAUUAGAUGAACAGUCUGGUCUCAGGAUAUUUCUGUACCUGUUUGAAUGAC